CCCAUUUCCUCCUUGCUUCACCCCGUGAACACAACUGCUUCUCUUCAGCAGCCCCAAAUGGAAAUUAUUCAGUGUCUUAUGUGAAAUUGAAAAUAUUUUUAAAAAGACAAUUGCAAUGUUAGUGUAUUGUGGAUGAUACUCUACAAGAAAAGCCUGAGCAAUGUUGGAGUGUCACAGCCACAGAGGGGCACAUCAACCUGAUACAAGAGAAAUGGAGCGAGGAGAGGUUAAAUCACAGAAUUUGGAAAGAAAAAGGGCAUCCAACAGCCUUAAAGAUGAAGAAAUGGAAGCUCCAGAGUUGAAGAAAUGUGUCUUCACUCCCACAAGUAAUCUUGAAGUUCCGAGCCACCAUGAGAGUUUUCCUGACACUGAGGUAAUUUCCUACCAUGUUGACACCACCUUGCGCCAGUGUUCAAGACCAUCACAGCUAUGAACCUUGUUGGCUUGUAUCAGAUGCCUGCUGGGACCUUGGCUGCCCAUAGUGCUCUCUAAAGACUCCAGCUUUCCAUAACUCCUACAGUUUUAAGUUCAAGGAAUGAUGAAGAGGACGCCAAUGUACGGAUUUGAUUUACCAAAUCAGGCCUGUACAGCAGCUGAAUCAACCUAUGGGAAAAUUUUGGCUCUCUUUAACAUUCUAAUUUUUGAGAACACCAUUGCAAAUACAUGAUUUCCAAAAUAAUAACAAUGCACUUAAUUAAUCACAUUAUAGAUCAUCAUAUAAAAAUAAAUACCUAAAUAGAAAUACAAUUUAUUUUUUUCUUAAAUUCCAAAUUGCAUAGAGCUGCCUCCUCUGCAGUUUUCCAUCACUGCCUCCUUCUCAGACUUCUCCUUUUGUUUUUUCAUUUCUUUGUACAGACUCCAGUCAUUUGUUUAAAUAUUCAUACUCAACCAGAAUACGUUUCCUAAUGUGGGAAUCAUUGCUUAUUCACAGGCACAGCCCUUGACAUCCUGAAAACAUGUAGUAAUGAUUUUUGGAAUAAAGGUUUGACACUUCUACAUUUACAUGUAAAUGGAGUUAAAAAAUUCUAGGUUGAGAAUAAGAAUACUAUAAAAAUUUUGAUCUAAAAUGGAUGUUAGAGAUAACCCAGCGCAACCAGUUGCUCUUACAAUUGAGGAAACUGAGGUCAAGAAUGAGUGAGUGGCUCAGAGUCACCCAGCUCAUUAGAGCCUGAAUGAACCACCUUGGUUCACUACCUCUGUUCACCGCCCUUUCUAGUGCACUUCAUGAAAUCACUCUCUAAGUACACAUCAACUCAUUUAGAUACUUAAAUGAUUCUUGAGAAAGUAGAAAGUAUAAAUGCCUUGACCACACAUAAGAACUUUGACAUAUUUCACUCUCUGUACUGAAAUUUCUAACAAUGCCUGGUACAUAAUAGGUAUUCAGUUGAUUUGGGUUUCUACAUCCCUUUUCUCCUUCUCUUCUUCAAGUUUGCAUGUAAACCACAUUAAAGACUGCUAAUAUAUAAAGUAGGCACCAUCUCAUGAAUCAAAGAGGGGAUUCCUAGAGCCACUGAGGAUGUCUUUAGAAGCCAGUGGUGCUGAUCCCACAGCUACUCUCCUGUGGACAGUGGAAGUGCUCCCCAAAGUACAUUCUUAGGGGAAAUGGGGCUGCCGCCAUGAGGAGGUGUCAAUAGAGAUUAGAGAUGGUCUUUGUGCUGUGAGAGAGACCUCACAUUUCCAAAUGCCAAGUCCUUUCUUCCUCAGUCAAAUGUACCCCCUAGAACAUAGAUACCUACUAAGCUGUAGAUUUUUGAGGGGAUACAGAGCUGAAUCCAUAAGAUAGUGGAUUAUUCAGAUAAGAAUUUCUGUAGAUAGAGAGUUUCCAAUCAAUUAUGUACCCCAACAAUGUGAGGUCAACUACUUAGACUACCUCUUAGCUUCUACAUUUAGAUGUUUCAAAGUCUGUUCUGAUCCUUAAAUUUGACACUUCUCUUUAAUAUAAACAAAGCCCUUUUAGUAUUCUUUGGGAUUAGCUUACCACUUAAUAAAUUCCUUCCAACACUAUCUUCUGUGAGUCAACAAACAGCUUCCUCCUGUGAUUUGGGCCUGGCUAACAACAAGUUAGACUUCAGACGAAUAAUUACUAGGCUGAGGCAUUUUCCAGGUGGUACAUUCCCACUUUGAGGAAACUUGGUCAUUUUACUUUUGCAUUUAAGAUGUCCUUAGGCUGAAAAUAAAGUGUCAGUGUUUGAAAUGUC
rnacentral:lncRNA from 1 species